rnacentral:rRNA from 1 species
AUUGAACGCUGGCGGCAGGCUUAACACAUGCAAGUCGAGCGGGGUGAUGGUGCUUGCACUAUCACUUAGCGGCGGGCGGGUGAGUAAUGCUUAGGAAUCUGCCUAUUAGUGGGGGACAACAUCUCGAAAGGGAUGCUAAUACCGCAUACGUCCUACGGGAGAAAGCAGGGGAUCACUUGUGACCUUGCGCUAAUAGAUGAGCCUAAGUCGGAUUAGCUAGUUGGUGGGGUAAAGGCCUACCAAGGCGACGAUCUGUAGCGGGUCGGAGAGGAUGAUCCGCCACACUGGGACUGAGACACGGCCCAGACUCCUACGGGAGGCAGCAGUGGGGAAUAUUGGACAAUGGGGGGAACCCUGAUCCAGCCAUGCCGCGUGUGUGAAGAAGGCCUUAUGGUUGUAAAGCACUUUAAGCGAGGAGGAGGCUCUUUUGGUUAAUACCCAAGAUGAGUGGACGUUACUCGCAGAAUAAGCACCGGCUAACUCUGUGCCAGCAGCCGCCGUAA